rnacentral:rRNA from 1 species
GACGAACGCUGGCGGCGUGCUUAACACAUGCAAGUCGAACGGAAAGGCCCCUUUGGGGGUACUCGAGUGGCGCACGGGUGAGUAACACGUGAGUAACCUGCCCUUGUCUUCGGGAUAACUUUAGGAAACUGGGGCCAAUACCGGCUAGGAAUCCUUGCUGCAUGGUGGGGGUUGGAAAGCUUCGGCGGUUUUGGAUGGACUUGCGGCUUAUCAGCUUGUUGGUGGGGUAGUGGCUUACCAAGGCUUCGACGGGUAGCCGGCCUGAGAGGGCGACCGGCCACAUUGAGACUGAGAUACGGCCCAGGCGCCGACGGGAGGCAGCAGUGGGGAAUAUUGCACAAUGAGCGGAGGCCUGAUGCAGCAACGCCGCGGGCGGGAAAACGGCCUUCGGGUUGAAAACCGCUUUCAGCAGGGGCGAAGCUUGUGGUGACGGUACCUGCAGAAGAAGCACCGGCUAACUACGUG